CCCUUAGAUGUCCGGGGCCGCACGCGCGCUACACUGAAGGAAUCAGCGUGGCUUUCUCCCUGACCCGAAAGGGUUGGGAAACCCGUUGAAUCUCCUUCGUGAUAGGGAUUGGGGCUUGAAAUUGUUCCCCAUGAACGAGGAAUUCCCAGUAAGCGCGAGUCAUAAGCUCGCGUUGAUUACGUCCCUCCCCUUUGUACACACCGCCCGUCGCUACUACCGAUUGAACGGUUUAGUGAGGGCCUCGGAUUGGUCUCGGCCCGCUCUUUACCGGGCGGCGCCGUUGGUCGAGAAGACGCUCGAACUUGAUCGUUUAGAGGAAGUAAAAGUCGUAACA
rnacentral:rRNA from 1 species